UGCGGUUAUACAAAAGUUAAAUUAAUUUUUUUUAGGAUUUAAUAAAUAAAAAUUUAUUUAAUAAUUUAAAUUUUAAAUUAUGAAGUGAAAUUUUAAUUUAAUUAAAAUUUAUUUAUUUUUAUGACAUUAAUAAAUUUUAUAAAAAACUAGGAUUAGAUACCCUAUUAUAAAAAUUUAAAAUUAAUAAUCUUAAAAUAGUAUAUAAUUUUAUUAUAGAAACUUAAAUAAUUUGGCGGUAUUUUAGUUCAUUUAGAGGAAUCUGUCUAAUAAUUGAUAAUCCACGAUUAAAUUUACUUAAUUUUUAAUUUUGUAUAUCGUUGUUAAAAAAAUAUUUUUUGAUAAAAAUAAUAUUUUAAAAUUUAAAUAAAAAAUUAAAUCAGAUCAAGAUGCAGAUUAUAAUUAAGAAUAUGAUGGAUUACAAUAAAUUUUAUUUUAUUUGGAUAUUAAUUUGAAAUAAAUUAAUUGAAAUUGGAUUUAAAUGUAAUUUUAUUAAUUUUGUUAAAAUGAUUUUAAAUUAAAAUAUGUACAUAUUGCCCGUCGCUUUCAUUUAUAAAUUGAAAUAAGUCGUAACAAAGUAGAGGUACUGGAAAGUGUUUCUAGAAAGAU
rnacentral:rRNA from 1 species